AUUGAACGCUGGCGGCAGGCUUAGCACAUGCAAGUCGAGCGGAGUGAUGGUGCUUGCACUAUCACUUAGCGGCGGACGGGCGAGUAAUGCUUAGGAAUCUGCCAUUUAGUGGGGGACAACAUUCCGAAAGGAAUGCUAAUACCGCAUACGUCCUACGGGCGAAAGCAGGGGAUCUUCGGACCUUGCGCUAAAUGAUGAGCCUAAGGCGGAUUAGCUAGUUGGUGGGGUAAAGGCCUACCAAGGCGACGAUCUGUAGCGGGUCUGAGAGGAUGAUCCGCCACACUGGGACUGAGACACGGCCCAGACUCCUACGGGAGGCAGCAGUGGGGAAUAUUGGACAAUGGGCGGAAGCCUGAUCCAGCCAUGCCGCGUGUGUGAAGAAGGCCUUUUGGUUGUAAAGCACUUUAAGCGAGGAGGAGGCUACUAGUACUAAUACUACUGGAUAGUGGACGUUACUCGCAGAAUAAGCACCGGCUAACUCUGUGCCAGCCGCCGCCGUAAGAC
rnacentral:rRNA from 1 species